rnacentral:rRNA from 1 species
AUGGAAUCCCGUACGAUUUCAUGCACGAUGAGUUUUGCCACUCCAGCUUGGGCCGUGCCACUCCGUCCGGUGCGUACAAGGUCGUCCGUCUCCGAAACGCCGUCACGGCGCUUGGCGAUGGCCAGAUCUGCCAGGUUGCCACAAUUGAGGCCGCGGCCACGGCCACAGCAGAACCCACGACGUGGAGGCAGAGACCGGAGCCCCCUAUCCUUACAUGUUGGUGCUCCAAUUGCACGGCCACCGUCAACGGCAUCCUCCACUUCAUGGAUGGUGGCCCUCAUGCCCAUGGUACACGUCCGGUGA